AUCGCACACCAGAAUCAUUAUUAGUAAUGCUAAUUUUUUUAUGUGUAUAGGAAAUAAAUGAAAAUAAUGUUAAGUAUCGGUUAUUAAUCUUAAUUUAUCUCACUUUCCAGACAAUGUAAUGGAUAAAAUCGCCCUCAUAGCAACCAAACAAGUGACUAACCCUGUGUUGACCUGACCUGACCUGCUUCUCUCCAUGACCUUUGAAGAAAAAAAAUCCAACAUGGUUCUCACAAAUACCUGUCUAACCCUACAUGACCCGGUAGACGAUGGUAGAGUGUCCUUCGUCAGAUAACUUCCUGCCGGGUCCUCUCAUCUCCCCUUCAGAUAGCUUCAGUUACUGGUGAAGGUCUGAGGUCUUCAUUACUUCCCAGGCCACACCGGGUCACCUGAUGAUGUUUGACGAGGGAACUGGGCGAAUGAAAAGGAAUUCAACUCACCGUCAAAUAUCACACUCCGACAUUGAUCCUGUCUGGCCAACCGAAGUGAACUGUGACGUCAUCGGUCGACAUUCAUAUACAAGGUAUUGUUGA